rnacentral:lncRNA from 1 species
CUCUCUUUCUUAUUUCAAUGACUAUUUCUUGAACUAGCAAAAUAUUCUCUCAUGCUCCUGCAUUGAACAAAUCCUGCUUGUUCUGGAGGUAAUCUCUGGAAUCACCCUUUUGUCUUUCAUGAAGGAUCCUAGAAAAUUUCUUAUUGAUAAAAUUGCUCAGUGAUGUAGGUUCUCAUAUUUGAGACUCUGCUUUAGAGAUUUGGUAGCAACUGGAUCAUCA